UACGUAGGGCGCAAGCGUUGUCCGGAAUUAUUGGGCGUAAAGAGCUCGUAGGCGGCCAGUUGCGUCCGCUGUGAAAUCCCGAGGCUCAACCUCGGGUCUGCAGUCGAUACGGGCAAACUAGAGUAUUGCAGGGGAGACUGGAAUUCCUGGUGUAGCGGUGAAAUGCGCAGAUAUCAGGAGGAACACCGGUGGCGAAGGCGGGUCUCUGGGCAAUAACUGACGCUGAGGAGCGAAAGCGUGGGGAGCGAACAGG
rnacentral:rRNA from 1 species